rnacentral:rRNA from 1 species
AGCAGCCGCGGUAAUUCCAGCUCCAAUAGCGUAUAUUAAAGUUGUUGCAGUUAAAAAGCUCGUAGUUGAAUUUCGGGGUCAGUAGGUUGGUCAUGCCACAGGUAUGUACUGAUCUUACUGAUUCCUCCUUCCUGAUGAACCGUAAUGCCAUUAAUUUGGUGUUGCGGGGAAACUGGACUGUUACUUUGAAAAAAUUAGAGUGUUUAAAGCAGGCUAACGCUUGAAUACAUUAGCAUGGAAUAAUGAAAUAGGACGUUCGAUCCUAUUUUGUUGGUUUCUAGGAUUGACGUAAUGAUUAAUAGGGAUAGUUGGGGGCAUUAGUAUUCAAUUGUCAGAGGUGAAAUUCUUGGAUUUAUUGAAGACUAACUACUGCGAAAGCAUUUGCCAAGGAUGUUUUCAUUAAUCAAGAACGAAAGUUAGGGGAUCGAAGACGAUCAGAUACCGUCGUAGUCUUAACCAUAAACUAUGCCGACUAGGGAUCGGAUGGUGUUAAUUUUUUAAUGACUCAUUCGGCGCCUUA